UACGUAGGGACCAAGCGUUGUUCGGAUUUACUGGGCGUAAAGGGCGCGUAGGCGGCAUGACAAGUCACUUGUGAAAUCUCUGGGCUUAACCCAGAACGGCCAAGUGAUACUGUCGCGCUAGAGUGCAGAAAGGGCAAUCGGAAUUCUUGGUGUAGCGGUGAAAUGCGUAGAUAUCAAGAGGAACACCUGAGGCGAAGGCGGGUUGCUAGGCUGACACUGACGCUGAGGCGCGAAAGCCAGGGGAGCAAACGGG
rnacentral:rRNA from 1 species